GUUCCCGUGGCGCAAUUGGAUAGCGUAUUUGAUUCCGAUUCAAAAGGUUGCAGGUUCGAGUCCUGUCGGGAACGCCA
rnacentral:tRNA from 1 species